rnacentral:rRNA from 1 species
AGAACGAACGCUGGCGGCAGGCUUAACACAUGCAAGUCGAGCGCCCCGCAAGGGGAGCGGCAGACGGGUGAGUAACGCGUGGGAACAUACCCUCCGGUUCGGAAUAACUCAGGGAAACUUGAGCUAAUACCGGAUACGGUCGAGAGGCGAAAGAUUUAUCGCCGGAGGAUUGGCCCGCGUCCGAUUAGCUAGUUGGUGUGGUAAUGGCGCACCAAGGCGACGAUCGGUAGCUGGUCUGAGAGGAUGAUCAGCCACAUUGGGACUGAGACACGGCCCAAACUCCUACGGGAGGCAGCAGUGGGGAAUAUUGCACAAUGGGCGCAAGCCUGAUGCAGCAACGCCGCGUGAGGGACGACGGCCUUCGGGUUGUAAACCUCUUUUAGUAGGGAAGAAGCGAAAGUGACGGUACCUGCAGAAAAGCACCGGCUAACUACGUGCCAGCAGCCGC